rnacentral:siRNA from 1 species
UAAUCGCCAGCCCAAACCCUA